UUCCAGACUCCUACGGGAGGCAGCAGUGGGGGAUAUUGCACAAUGGGGGAAACCCUGAUGCAGCGACGCCGCGUGUGGGAAGACGGUCUUCUGGAUUGUAAACCACUGUCCCCAGGGACGAAAAUGACGGUACCUGGGGAGGAAGCUCCGGCUAAAUACGUGCCAGCAGCCUCGGUAAUACGUAUGGAGCAAGCGUUAUCCGGAUUUACUGGGUGUAAAGGGAGCGCAGGCGGCCUUGCAAGUCUGAUGUGAAAGGCCGGGGCCCAACCCCGGGACUGCAUUGGAAACUGCGAGGCUGGAGUGUCGGAGAGGCAGGCGGAAUUCCUAGUGUAGCGGUGAAAUGCGUAGAUAUUAGGAGGAACACCAGUGGCGAAGGCGGCCUGCUGGACGAUGACUGACGCUGAGGCUCGAAAGCGUGGGGAGCAAACAGGAUUAGAUACCCCGGUAAAA
rnacentral:rRNA from 1 species